UACGUAGGGACCGAGCGUUGUCCGGAAUCAUUGGGCGUAAAGAGCGUGUAGGCGGCCUUUUAAGUCCUGCGUGAAAUCCUGCGGCUCAACCGCAGACGGUCGUGGGAAACUGGAAGGCUAGAGUGCGGGAGAGGAGAGUGGAAUUCCCGGUGUAGCGGUGAAAUGCGCAGAUAUCGGGAAGAACACCAGUGGCGAAGGCGACUUCCUGGCCUGUUCUUGACGCUGAGGCGCGAAAGCUAGGGUAGCAAACGGG
rnacentral:rRNA from 1 species